rnacentral:rRNA from 1 species
GACGAACGCUGGCGGCGUGCCUAGUACAUGCAAGUAGAACGCUGAAGCGAGGAGCUUGCUCUUCUUGGAUGAGUUGCGAACGGGUGAGUAACGCGUAGGUAACCUGCCUUGUAGCGGGGGAUAACUAUUGGAAACGAUAGCUAAUACCGCAUAACAAUGGAUGACACAUGUCAUUUAUUUGAAAGGGGCAAUUGCUCCACUACAAGAUGGACCUGCGUUGUAUUAGCUAGUAGGUGAGGUAACGGCUCACCUAGGCGACGAUACAUAGCCAACCUGAGAGGGUGAUCGGCCACACUGGGACUGAGACACGGCCCAGACUCCUACGGGAGGCAGCAGUAGGGAAUCUUCGGCAAUGGGGGCAACCCUGACCGAGCAACGCCGCGUGAGUGAAGAAGGGUUUCGGAUCGUAAAGCUCUGUUGUAAGUCAAGAACGAGGGUGAGAGUGGAAAGUUCACACUGUGACGGUAGCUUACCAGAAAGGGACGGCUAACUACGUG